UACGUAGGCAGCGAGCGUUGUUCGGAGUUACUGGGCGUAAAGGGCGUGUAGGUGGUUUCGUAAGUCUGGCGUGAAAUUUUUCGGCUUAACCGGGAAAGGUCGUCGGAUACUGCGGGACUGGAGGACGGUAGAGGCGUGUGGAAUUCCGGGUGUAGUGGUGAAAUGCGUAGAGAUCCGGAGGAACACCAGUGGCGAAGGCGACACGCUGGGCCGUACCUGACACUGAUGCGCGACAGCAUGGGGAACAAACAGG
rnacentral:rRNA from 1 species